rnacentral:rRNA from 1 species
UACGUAGGGGUGCGAGCGUUGUCCGGAAUUACUGGGCGUAAAGAGCUCGUAGGCGGUUUGUUGCGUCGGCUGUGAAAUCCCGAGGCUCAACCUCGGGUCUGCAGUCGAUACGAGCAAACUAGAGUGUUGCAGGGGAGACUGGAAUUCCUGGUGUAGCGGUGGAAUGCGCAGAUAUCAGGAGGAACACCGAUGGCGAAGGCAGGUCACUGGGCCGCAACUGACGCUGAGGAGCGAAAGCAUGGGGAGCGAACAGG